CAGACCUCAGAGCUUUGCCCAUUGCUGCUGCUGCUGAGUGUGUCUGUGUGUGUGAUUCUCAGCCCAGAAAUAAACUGAUGAAAAACUUCCUGAAAGAAUUGACGAUAACCCUAUUCGUGGGAUGCAUGUGGCAUCAGCAACAUCAGGCGGGGCUGCAGGGAGCUGAUUU